rnacentral:ribozyme from 1 species
CCCGAGCGUUGCUGCUACCUUGACGUGGUUGUCCGGCUUGCCUAUCGUGAUGAACCAAUAGAGCUAUACUGACUGGAACAAUCGUUCCUCAAGGUCCUACUAUGCCAGGCAGGUCGGUCGAAGAGCGGUAGGACUAAAAGCAGC